GGGGGGGGUGGUCAUCUUCUCGAACUUCCUUUUCAUUAGGCUCAGGCUCAGCGAGGUUACUUAUUUUAAUUUUAGCUUUUGGAUUUGAUGUUCCAGGAACUGGAUUAGAGUCAGUCAUAUUAGGGGCACUAAAAAUGACGUCAUAUAUUUUUUUUAGGUUUUGGUUCCAUCACUUCACAAAAUUCACAAACUGAUAAUUUAAAAAUUAGUAAUAGGCUUUCACAAAUGUAUUAUAGACGACUCAACUCAAACAAAACUAACAGUAUAUACGGUAUGCUGUUUGAACUCAACCACUACGACUAAGACUUUCAGCUACGAUAACAGCUUAAUACAAGCACUCAUAACAACAUAGAGACCGGGAACGCGAAUAACAUGUCUCGACAUGUCUGUGUAAGUAUACACACCCUGCAGUUAGUAGGAGAUGGAUGAGUUGCGAGUUACAAGAGUUGUCUAUUGCACAGUGCCUACAACUACCUUGAUACCACUCAACGGACAUAUAAAUGAUGUGGGUUUGUUCUGGCCUUUUUAUUAUCCAGCGACUCGUCACCCGCCUACCACUUUUUACAGGCGGGUGGCGCUCCAGUACACAGCUCCGGCUCUAGAUGCUAUGCCGGAGCGACGCUCCGCUUCUUAAAGCUGUGCCGGAGCGCCGCUCCGGCCCCACUACACCACUGCCCCCAAGUAAUUCUGACAAGUGUCAAAAGCCAGCAAGUCCAGUUUUUCAGAUAUUUUUAAAUUUUGUAGGCCUGCUGAAUGUUGCCAUAUAACAUUGUAAUUAGUUUCCAAAUUAAAGCCAAAAUAAUUUGCAACAAAAUGCAAGUAUAUUUGUGAAACAAAACUCUAGUAUGAGUUUAACUUCAGUAGUAGGUAAUUUACUGUUGUGUGUGUGUGUGUGUGUGCGUGUGCGUGCGUGCGUGCGCGAGCAUGCAUUUUUUCCAUGAACCUUUAUAACACAAGUUGAUGGAAGUGUUUUGAGGGAAAUGUGAUCUUGGGUACAAAGCUAAAUAUGAAACCUCCUCCUCCCUGAUUAAUACAUGUGGUUAAUAUUGUUUGUAGCACCAAUUAUUUGCAGUUGUGCGUCUGUGGUGUUUUAAAUGAAAAUAGGUUGUAUAUAAGUGAAAUUAUUGUGAAAUCGAUUAAUGAACUUGAUGGUACCUUUGAUAACAUCCUAACAUCUCGUUAAAAAAAAAAUGAUAUUUAAUUUCAUAACUUAUUUUGAGUCUUGUUAUUUGUUAAACUGUUCGUUAAAUAUGUUUCAGAAAAUGACUGAGAAGUGUUUUAGAAAGUGUGUACAAACUCCCGGAACUUCAUUAAGCACCUCUGAACAAAAAUGUGUAGCAAUGUGCAUGGACCGAUACAUGGACUCUUGGAACACAGUCUCCAGAGCAUACAGUAACAGAAUAGAACGGGAAAGAGCUCGGAACUGAUAGUUAAUAAGUGUUAUUUAGUCGGACAGUACAUUUCUUAAUUUAUAGUAACAGUGUUGUAUGGAAUUUGGAAAAUCCUAAGUGAAAGCUUAUUCCUACCAGUCUGUGGUGUAGAAAAUCCACUAUAAUGUUGUAUGGGAAACAAGUUGAACUGAAUGUAUUGGAGCAAUUAAUGUUAAAUUUAUGUUGUUGACUUUCCCUUAGUCGAAACAACAUGUAUUCAAAAUUAUAAGUUGAUAAGACAAAAAGUGAAAAGUGUUUUAUGUUGCUGGUUUUGGUUACUUACCAGUGCUGAAUGCUUACUGUGUAUAGAAAUAUAAAAUUUUCUAGUAAAUCAAAUACAAAAAUU